AUUGAACGCUGGCGGCAGGCCUAACACAUGCAAGUCGAACGAGUGGCGGACGGGUGAGUAAUGUCUGGGAAACUGCCUGAUGGAGGGGGAUAACUACUGUAAACGGUAGCUAAUACCGCAUACAAUCGGAUGUGCAACGAUGGGAUUAGCUAGUAGGUGGGGUAACGGCCCACCGAGGCGUCGAUCCAUAGCUGGUGUGAGAGUAUGACCGGCCACACUGGAACGUAGACACGGUCCAGACUCCUACGUGAGGCAGCAGUUGGGAAUAUUGCACAAUGGGCGCAAGCCUGAUGCAGCCAUGCCGCGUGUAUGAAGAAGGCCUUCGGGUUGUAAAGUACUUUCGUCAGGGAGGCGUUACCCGCAGAAGAAGCACCGGCUAACUCCGUGCCAGCAGCCGCGGUAAUUC
rnacentral:rRNA from 1 species